rnacentral:rRNA from 1 species
UACGUAGGGUGCGAGCGUUGUCCGGAAUUAUUGGGCGUAAAGAGCUUGUAGGCGGUCUGUCGCGUCUGCUGUGAAAAUCCGGGGCUCAACCCCGGACUUGCAGUGGGUACGGGCAGACUAGAGUGUGGUAGGGGAGACUGGAAUUCCUGGUGUAGCGGUGAAAUGCGCAGAUAUCAGGAGGAACACCGAUGGCGAAGGCAGUUCUCUGGGCCGUAACUGACGCUGAGGAACGAAAGCCAGGGGAGCAAACGGG